CCGGAGCAAGAUGUUAGACAAGCUCAGCGAAUCACUGACCAGGGACGGAGCUCAGAUCCGCGCCCACAUCCGAUUGGUGCUGGAGGGCCUGAGGGAGCUGCAAGGCCUACAGGAUCCCCCAGAUGACCCCUGACCUAUGACCUUGUGUGACCCUUGACCUCUGACCUCGGGGUCACCUGUGACCUUGAGUUACCUUUGACCUCUGACCCAUUUUGGGGGGGGGGAGGAGAGGAACCGGAAGCUGCUGUUGAGAAUUGGGUGUAAAUGUGGAGUAAUGGGGCAAUAAAUAUGGAGUAACGUUGGAGUAAA